CUCAGAUUGAACGCUGGCGGCAGGCCUAACACAUGCAAGUCGAGCGGAAACGACACUAACAAUCCUUCGGGUGCGUUAAUGGGCGUCGAGCGGCGGACGGGUGAGUAAUGCCUAGGAAAUUGCCUUGAUGUGGGGGAUAACCAUUGGAAACGAUGGCUAAUACCGCAUAAUGCCUACGGGCCAAAGAGGGGGAUCUUCGGACCUCUCGCGUCAAGAUAUGCCUAGGUGGGAUUAGCUAGUUGGUGAGGUAAUGGCUCACCAAGGCGACGAUCCCUAGCUGGUCUGAGAGGAUGAUCAGCCACACUGGAACUGAGACACGGUCCAGACUCCUACGGGAGGCAGCAGUGGGGAAUAUUGCACGAAUGGGCGAAAGCCUGAUGCAGCCAUGCCGCGUGUGUGAAGAACGGCCUUCGGGUUGUAAACGCACUUUCGAGCGAGGAGGAAACGGUCAGUAAGUAUAUUUGCUGGCUGUGACGUUACUCGC
rnacentral:rRNA from 1 species